GGGUUAUAUAAAGGAUGAUGGUCCUUAUUCUAAAAAUCUCAGGGCUACCACAAUACCUGUGACGUCCAAACAAUUUUGCAGUAUGGCUUACUGCGGUCAUAUUAUUACGGAUCGUAUGUUGUGCGCUGGUGUGCAAGGGAGAUCUAGGAGCACCAGUUGUAUCUGAAGAUGAGCUUGUGCAAUAUGGGAUUGUAUCAUUAGGCAACAAAUAUGACUGCGCUAUAAAUGGGUGUCCGUCUGUGUUUGUUUUCAUUCCACCAUUAAGGGAUUGGAUC